rnacentral:misc_RNA from 1 species
CUGCUUGCUUAUGGCCACCGAGGGGGGAAACCUCCUCGGCGGUACGGCAACACCCACCCUUGACUAUAUAUACCUUUCGUUAUUUCCCUCGGCGGGGCAACCCGCCGCUGGGGACAUUGAAACCCUCUUGUAUCAAGCAUCAAAACUUCUGAAACAAACCUAAAAUAUAA